rnacentral:rRNA from 1 species
CAGCCGCCACGGUAAUACGUAGGGUGCAAGCGUUAAUCGGAAUUACUGGGCGUAAAGCGUGCGCAGGCGGUGUUGUAAGACUGAUGUGAAAUCCCCGGGCUCAACCUGGGAACUGCAUUGGUGACUGCAACGCUGGAGUGCGGCAGAGGGGGAUGGAAUUCCGCGUGUAGCAGUGAAAUGCGUAGAGAUCGGGAGGAACAUCAGUGGCGAAGGCGGCCAUCUGGGACAACACUGACGCUGAGGCACGAAAGCGUGGGGAGCAAACAGGAUUAGAUACCCCCGUAGUCCCUGUCUCUUAUAC